rnacentral:rRNA from 1 species
GCGGAAGGAUCAUUAAUAAACCAAGCGGGUCCUCUCGAAAUGAAUGGAUGUCUGAACCCUUGAAUACAAAACUUCGUUGCUUUGGCGGGCCGCCUUCGGGCGUCGGCCUCGGCUGACAGCGCCUGCCAGGGGACCAAAACUCUUAGUUCAGUGAUGUCUGAGUACUAUAUAAUAGUUAAAACUUUCAACAACGGAUCUCUUGGUUCUGGCAUCGAUGAAGAACGCAGCGAAAUGCGAUAAGUAAUGUGAAUUGCAGAAUUCAGUGAAUCAUCGAAUCUUUGAACGCACAUUGCGCCCCUUGGUAUUCCGAGGGGCAUGCCUGUUCGAGCGUCAUAUAAACACAUCCUGUAAAGGGGUCUUGGGGCUCGCCUUCUAGCGGCUCUUAAAAUCAGUGGCGGCGCCAUCUGGCUCUAAGCGUAGUAAUUAUCCUCGCUAUAGGGUUCCGGUGGAUGCUUGCCAGCAACCCCCCAUUUUCUACGUUUGACCUCGGAUCAGGUAGGGAUACCCGCUGAACUUAAGCAUAUCAU